rnacentral:rRNA from 1 species
AGGACGAACGCUGGCGGCGUGCUUAACACAUGCAAGUCGAGCGGAAAGGCCCUUCGGGGUACUCGAGCGGCGAACGGGUGAGUAACACGUGAGUAACCUGCCCUUGGCUCUGGGAUAGCUCCGGGAAACCGGAAUUAAUACCGGAUAUUCACUGCUUCCUGCAUGGGGGGUGGUGGAAAGUUUUUCGGCUGGGGUGGGGCUCGCGGCCUAUCAGCUUGUUGGGGGGGUGACGGCCCACCAAGGCGACGACGGGUAGCCGGCCUGAGAGGGCGACCGGCCACACUGGGACUGAGACACGGCCCAGACUCCUACGGGAGGCAGCAGUGGGGAAUAUUGCGCAAUGGGCGGAAGCCUGACGCAGCGACGCCGCGUGCGGGAUGAAGGCCUUCGGGUUGUAAACCGCUUUCACCAGGGACGAAGCGAGAGUGACGGUACCGUGGGGAAGAAGCGCCGGCUAACUACGUGCCAGCAGCCGC